UCAGCAUAAGGUCAACCAUAUCAAAAAGACAGCAACAAGGGUGCUCAGGGCGGAGAGUCUCCAGACCGACAGACACGUGAAAGCCUUACUAAACCUAGGGGAGGUGUAUGCUGUGCAGGAGCACCAGGGAAGCCUGCGCUCCGCUAAGAUAACCAUACGGCAGGGAAUGAUUUACCUCCACCACCUCCAGCCUUGCCCCCCUCCAGCUCAUGCCUACACUCUGCCUCACAAUAAGGUCAUAGGUCUCCUCGACCCCUCUUCCACCUUGGCCUUCCUGGAUCUGGCUUGGCCGGGAAUGCCGUCCCAGAGGCUGCACAUCCGAAUGGGUGCCAACAACC